AGUGAACGCUGGCGGCAGGCCUAACACAUGCAAGUCGAACGGCAGCACGGCAGUAGCAAUACUGUGGGUGGCGAGUGGUGGACGGGUGAGGAAUACAUCGGGAUCUACCCUGUUGUGGGGGAUAACGUAGGGAAACUUACGCUAAUACCGCAUAAGAACUGAGGUUGAAAGCGGCGGACCGCAAGGCGUCGCGCGAUUGGAUGAACCGAUGUCCGAUUAGCUAGUUGGCGGGGUAAAGGCCCACCAAGGCGACGAUCGGUAGCUGGUCUGAGAGGACGACCAGCCACACUGGAACUGAGACACGGUCCAGACUCCUACGGGAGGCAGCAGUGGGGAAUA
rnacentral:rRNA from 1 species